rnacentral:ncRNA from 1 species
AACCGCCGUGUACGGAACCGUACGCACGGUGGUGUGAGAGGUCGGAGCCUUUGGCUCCUCCUACUCGAU